rnacentral:rRNA from 1 species
UACGUAGGGUGCAAGCGUUGUCCGGAAUUAUUGGGCGUAAAGAGCUCGUAGGCGGUUCGUCGCGUCGGCUGUGAAAACCCGGAGCUCAACUCCGGGCCUGCAGUCGAUACGGGCGGACUCGAGUUCGGCAGGGGAGACUGGAAUUCCUGGUGUAGCGGUGAAAUGCGCAGAUAUCAGGAGGAACACCGGUGGCGAAAGCGGCGCACUGGACCAUAACUGACGCUGAUGCGCGAAAGCGUGGGAGCAAACAUG